rnacentral:piRNA from 1 species
UAGAGCAAAGGGGAUGGGUCUGG